GAAGGUAUAGCUCAGUUGUAGAGUGCAUGCUUAGCAUGCAUAAGAUCCUGGGUUCAAUCCCCAGUACCUCCA
rnacentral:tRNA from 1 species